UUUUUAGUAUAAGUGCAUCUUAUGCAAUAUUUGGGACGUACUUGUACUAAAA
rfam:Myotis davidii contig68643, whole genome shotgun sequence.